rnacentral:misc_RNA from 1 species
UCCCUGUUACCAGGGCAGUCUGAAUAGAAAAAUUCAACUAUUCACAAGGGUUGCGCUCGUUGAUGGACUUAACCAAACAUCUCACGACACGAGCUGACGACGGCCAUGCAUCACCUGUCACUGCGGCCCGAAGGCACAUCUACCUUUCGGUAGACUUGGCAGGAUGUCAAACCUGGGUAAGGUUCUUCGCUUAUCGUCGAAUUAAACAACACGCUCCACCGCUUGUGCGGGUCCCCGUCAAUUCCUUUAUGUUUUAAGCUUGCGCUCGUACUCCACAGGCGGGAUGCUUAACGCGUUAGCUUCGCUACUAGAAGGGUCGAUACUUCUAACAGCUAGCAUCCAUAGUUUACGGCGUGGACUAC